ensembl:lncRNA
GGGGGGGGGGGGGGGGGGCAGGGGGACCUUGUGCAAGGCUCCCCUCUCUGUGGGCAACCUAAUUAAGCCUAAUUAGCCUGCUAAUUAGUGGGAGGGUACUGGGAGGGAGGGCGAUGGGACGUGGAGACAUUGGGGUCCCCCGUGGGUGGCAUCGGUGCCUAUAGGGGACAUCCGACCCCAUAGGCGACAUCGGGGGUCCCUAUAGGUCCCCCAUGACUCCUCCCCAUUUUGGGGCACUGGGAGGCACUGGGAGGCACUGGGGGGCACUGGGAGGUAUUGGGGGGCACUGGGAGGCACUGGGAGGCACUGGGGGGCACUGGGAGGUACUGGGAGGUACUGGGGGGUACUGGGAGGUACUGGGAGGCACUGGUGGAUGCUGGGGAGCACUGCGAGGCACUGGGAGGCACUGGGGGGCAGUGGGGGGCACUGGGGGGUACUGGGGGGCACUGGGAGGUACUGGGAGGGACUGGGGGCACUGGGGGGUACUGGGUUGUACUGGGAGGGACUGAGAGGCACUGGGAAGAACUGGGGGGUACUGUGAGGCUCUGAGAGGUACUGGGGGGCACUGGAAGGCACUGGGGGGCACUGGGAGGUAUUGGGAGGAACUGGGAGUUACUGGGAGGCACUGGGGGGCACUGGGAGGCUCUGGGAGGCACUGGGAGGUAUUGGGAGGCACUGGGAGGUACUGGGAGGCACUGGGAGGUACUGGGAGGUACUGGGGGGCACUGGGAGGCACUGGGGAGCACUGAGAGGUACUGGGAGG